GACGAACGCUGGCGGCGUGCUUAACACAUGCAAGUCGAACGAAGCGGCGAACGGGUGAGUAAUACGUGGGUAACCUGCCCUCCUUUUUGGGAUAAGCCUUGGAAACGCGGUCUACUCCUGCAUAAAGGGGGAUGGGCUCGCGGCCUAUCAGCUUGUUGGUGGGGUGAUGGCCUACCAAGGCGGUGACGGGUAGCCGGCCUGAGAGGGUGACCGGCCACAUUGGGACUGAGAUACGGCCCAGACUCCUACGGGAGGCAGCAGUGGGGAAUCUUCCGCAAUGGGCGAAAGCCUGACGGAGCAAUGCCGCGUGAGUGAAGAAGGCCUUCGGGUUGUAAAACUCGUCUGCAAGAGAGACGGUAGACUAGGAGGAAGCCCCGGCUAACUAUGUGCCAGCAGCCGCGGUAAUAC
rnacentral:rRNA from 1 species